rnacentral:rRNA from 1 species
AUACGUAGGGGGCGAGCGUUGUCCGGAAUGACUGGGCGUAAAGGGCGUGUAGGCGGCGGAUUAAGUCUGGAGUGAAAGUCCUGCUUUCAAGGUGGGAAUUGCUUUGGAUACUGGUCGGCUUGAGUGCGGAAGAGGUAAGUGGAAUUCCCAGUGUAGCGGUGAAAUGCGUAGAGAUUGGGAGGAACACCAGUGGCGAAGGCGACUUACUGGACUGUAACUGACGCUGAGGCGCGAAAGUGUGGGGAGCAAACAGGAUUAGAUACCCUGGUAGUCCACACUGUAAACGAUGAAUGCUAGGUGUAGGGGGUAUCGACCCCUUCUGUGCCGCAGUCAACACAAUAAGCAUUCCGCCUGGGGAGUACGGCCGCAAGGUUGAAACUCAAAGGAAUUGACGGGG